rnacentral:rRNA from 1 species
AGAGUUUGAUCCUGGCUCAGGACGAACGCUGGCGGCGUGCUUAACACAUGCAAGUCGAACGGAAAGGCCCUGCUUUUGUGGGGUGCUCGAGUGGCGAACGGGUGAGUAACACGUGAGUAACCUGCCCUUGACUUUGGGAUAACUUCAGGAAACUGGGGCUAAUACCGGAUAGGAGCUCCUGCUGCAUGGUGGGGGUUGGAAAGUUUCGGCGGUUGGGGAUGGACUCGCGGCUUAUCAGCUUGUUGGUGGGGUAGUGGCUUACCAAGGCUUUGACGGGUAGCCGGCCUGAGAGGGUGACCGGCCACAUUGGGACUGAGAUACGGCCCAGACUCCUACGGGAGGCAGCAGUGGGGAAUAUUGCACAAUGGGCGGAAGCCUGAUGCAGCAACGCCGCGUGCGGGAUGACGGCCUUCGGGUUGUAAACCGCUUUCGCCUGUGACGAAGCGUGAGUGACGGUAAUGGGUAAAGAAGCACCGGCUAACUACGUGCCAGCAGCCGCGGUGAUACGUAGGGUGCGAGCGUUGUCCGGAUUUAUUGGGCGUAAAGGGCUCGUAGGUGGUUGAUCGCGUCGGAAGUGUAAUCUUGGGGCUUAACCCUGAGCGUGCUUUCGAUACGGGUUGACUUGAGGAAGGUAGGGGAGAAUGGAAUUCCUGGUGGAGCGGUGGAAUGCGCAGAUAUCAGGAGGAACACCAGUGGCGAAGGCGGUUCUCUGGGCCUUUCCUGACGCUGAGGAGCGAAAGCGUGGGGAGCGAACAGGCUUAGAUACCCUGGUAGUCCACGCUGUAAACGGUGGGUACUAGGUGUGGGGUCCAUUCCACGGGUUCCGUGCCGUAGCUAACGCUUUAAGUACCCCGCCUGGGGAGUACGGCCGCAAGGCUAAAACUCAAAGGAAUUGACGGGGCCCCGCACAAGCGGCGGAGCAUGCGGAUUAAUUCGAUGCAACGCGUAGAACCUUACCUGGGUUUGACAUGGAUCGGGAGUGCUCAGAGAUGGGUGUGCCUCUUUUGGGGUCGGUUCACAGGUGGUGCAUGGCUGUCGUCAGCUCGUGUCGUGAGAUGUUGGGUUAAGUCCCGCAAC